rnacentral:rRNA from 1 species
UACGGAGGGAGCUAGCGUUGUUCGGAAUUACUGGGCGUAAAGCGCGCGUAGGCGGCUUUGUAAGUUAGAGGUGAAAGCCCGGGGCUCAACUCCGGAAUUGCCUUUAAGACUGCAUCGCUAGAAUCCGGGAGAGGUGAGUGGAAUUCCGAGUGUAGAGGUGAAAUUCGUAGAUAUUCGGAAGAACACCAGUGGCGAAGGCGGCUCACUGGACCGGCAUUGACGCUGAGGUGCGAAAGCGUGGGGAGCAAACCGG